AUACGUAGGGUGCAAGCGUUAAUCGGAAUUACUGGGCGUAAAGCGUGCGCAGGCGGUUUUGUAAGACAGUGGUGAAAUCCCCGGGCUCAACCUGGGAACUGCCAUUGUGACUGCAAGGCUGGAGUGCGGCAGAGGGGGAUGGAAUUCCGCGUGUAGCAGUGAAAGGCGUAGAUAUACGGAGGAACACCGAUGGCGAAGGCAAUCCCCUGGGCCUGCACUGACGCUCAUGCACGAAAGCGUGGGGAGCAAACAGGAUUAGAUACCCUGGUAGUCCACGCCCUAAACGAUGUCAACUGGUUGUUGGGUCUUCAUUGACUCAGUAACGAAGCUAACGCGUGAAGUUGACCGCCUGGGGAGUACGGCCGCAAGGUUGAAACUCAAAUGAAUUGACGGGG
rnacentral:rRNA from 1 species